GUAUAUAUUACAUUGCAAACGAAGGACUAUCCGAGGUAGCAUACCUAUCUUUUGGAUAACUUCCAUCCCUAUUCGGAGCUAAUGAAAUCCUCCUCGCUACUGCUCUGGUGUGACAGAUACCGGUUCCUCCCCGUUUGAACAGCGACGCGGUUUUUGAAGCGCACCAAAGCCAGGGCUAUCUCAGCGUUCCAGGCGGUACCUUCUUGCUCACACCUGAAAUCGAUCUCCUUGCCUCCAGACAUCACGAUGGUGAAGUACACAAGAUCGCGUUUGUGUUCCACGCAGUCCACCGUUUCCAUAUCUUCAAAGAGUAUUUUUUUCUCCUUCAAUCCCGGUCCAGCGCUCCUGUCCUUGCGCUUGUAGUCAAAUAAGUGCAGUCCGUCUUCAGUCAUGAGACAACACUUUUUCUUCCAAAGCUGAAGCAGUCCGUUGCUCCUUUUCUCCAGAUCCAGCCCCCAGACUGUGAUGUCAUCUGCACAGUCCAAUGUUUAUAUGGCACUGCGUGGAAAAGGGCGGUGUUGUCUCACAGAGAUCCACAAUGUACCCAUUCACAAAAGUAGGAUUCUGGGCAUUUACCACAGUCACAGUCCAGCCUCAGCCUCUCUUUUCCUGUGGAUUACUGCAAAUACCAGGCUGCUGGAACGGCCCUGACUCAUGACUCAAGCUGGGUUGGUUUUUGGUCUGCGUAUUUCCUCAGAAGUGCAACAUAAGUAAUAAAGACAUCU